CCCCCCAAACACACACACACGCGAAAACUUUUUAUGAUAAUUCCCAAGGACUCAGCCGAACAUACGGAAGUACAUUACAUAGCUUUAGCUGAUAUCUAUAAAUACCCUUUGAAUAAAACCGGGUGUAGAUGUAGUACAUUCUUGUGCAGCUAUUGGCUCAAGUUUUUGUAAGAAGUCGCAGAAAUGCUCGUUAUCUGAAGUACAUUGCAGCCCAUCACUUUUAUAUAAGAGAAGCCUAGUAUGUCUUGCAGUCCAACAGGUACCCUAAUUGAAUUUGACCAAUCAGAAAGGUACCUUAAUAACUGAAUCUAACCAAUCAACAGACAGCUGCUUGCUAGGAUAUCAAACAAGCUGUGAGUCUCAAAAUCUAUAUGCAGUUUUUGUCGUUACAUAAUUCUUUGGUAAUUCCCUAAAUAAUACUUACAUUUUAAUAUUUAAUGGAGGACGAUUAGAAGGAAUUACCUCUGGAUUCAACAGUGGGCAACCCUGAGUACCAGAGCCUUCAAACUUCACGAGAGAAGUCUGGAGGCUCUGUCGCCAAGGGUGACAGUGGGCAUGGUAAAGUUAUAGAACUAUAAAGUUGUAUGGUGUUCGCAAAAAAACAUGUACAAUCCAUUGUCACGAAGAAAUAUUUUAUACAAAGAACUUUUAUUUUUAACUAGCGGUGUCAAUGUUAUUAAUGAAAGCUGUAUGAAGGGAGAUAAUUACCAAAUCAAGUAGCCGAAAACAUUUGAUUUGCAAAUCGAAAUCGAAAUAGAUUCUAGAGCGAAGAAUGCGUGAAGGUAUUACGUGACAGCGACGGAACAGUUGCGUUACAAAUGAUUUCCAUGCACUCUCAAGAUGUGACUCUGAGAAAUCUAUCUUUGAUUAUAAAGAGAAACUUUCUCAUUCAUUUUCAAGCUCUAAAGUAUUUAGUUUCCUUUUCUUUUUGAAAGAGCGUGCGUAUUUAAUUGCGUUUUAGAGUUUCCAAGGAACCCUUCGUGGCUGGUUGGCUCCAUAGAAAAGAUAAAUUAUGCAGCUAUUUAGACCUCAAGAUCCAUGCAUAUAUCUAUAAAAUGUGUGCCAUGAAAUAUACUAUAAGUGAUAAAGUGACAUUGGAAAGU